UACGGGGGGGGCAAGCGUUGUUCGGAAUUACUGGGCGUAAAGGGCUCGUAGGCGGCCAACUAAGUCAGACGUGAAAUCCCUCGGCUUAACCGGGGAACUGCGUCUGAUACUGGAUGGCUUGAGGUUGGGAGAGGGAUGCGGAAUUCCAGGUGUAGCGGUGAAAUGCGUAGAUAUCUGGAGGAACACCGGUGGCGAAGGCGGCAUCCUGGACUGGUCCUGACACUCAGGAGCGAAAGCGUGGGGAGCGAUCCGG
rnacentral:rRNA from 1 species